UACGGAGGGAGCUAGCGUUGUUCGGAAUUACUGGGCGUAAAGCGUGUGUAGGCGGCUUUGCAAGUCGGAUGUGAAAGCCCCGGGCUCAACCCGGGAAGUGCACUCGAUACUGCAGAGCUUGAGUAUCGGAGAGGUUGGUGGAAUUCUCGGUGUAGAGGUGAAAUUCGUAGAUAUCGAGAGGAACACCGGCGGCGAAGGCGGCCAACUGGACGAAUACUGACGCUGAGACACGAAAGCGUGGGGAGCAAACAGG
rnacentral:rRNA from 1 species